GUCUACAGCCAUAUCACCCUGAAUGAGCCCGAUCUCAUCUGAUCUCGGAAGCUAAGCAGGGCCGGGCCUGGGGAGUACUUGGAUGGGAGAGUACAUUAGAGUAAAACAUUGUGUCUGGGGACC
rnacentral:rRNA from 1 species